GUUUUCCUUAACGCUCGGUGCUGAAGUCUGCCGGAUCCAGAAAGGCUUCUCAUCUCGUAUAUCGCGGAGCCGGGGAUCUGGAUUACUGUGUCCGGGCUGAAGAUAUAACUUUCCUAUUGUUAGACCUGCAGUGAGAGAUUUAUUGGAAGAAAAACCCCAACUGGAGGAAAACCACGACUGAUGACGAGGGAGCAGCAACAAGUGAACCAACCCGAGGACUGAGAGCAUCAAUCAGAGAGAACCCAACUGACUCGGACAUUCCAGUGAUUCAGUCAGGAGAAAUUUUGGCUAAAAACAAGGAAUUUAUCUACGGGAAUUUCGAACACAACAUGCCAAUUUUGCUGUCUCUGUCCAGAUAUUUAAGAAGUGGAGCAAGGGAUUCACUCGAUCAUCCUUCCUGCUCAGGCUGUGGGGAGGGAUUCACUUGGUCAUCUGACCGACUGGCAAAGCGGAAAUUUUACACGGGGAGAGGCCGUUCAUUUGCUCAGACUGUGAGAAUGGAUUCAGUGGGUCUUCUCAACUGAAUGUAUAUCAGCAAGUUCACACUGGACAAGGCCAUUCACCUGUUCUGUGAGUGAGAAGGGAUUCAGUCGUCUUCCCACCUGUGGACACACCAGUCAGUUCACACUGGGCAGAGGCUGGUCAUCUGCUGAAUUUGUGGGGAAGGAUUCACUCGGUCAUCUGACUUCAUGGCUCACCAGCGAGUUCACACUGAGGGGAGGCC